UACGUAGGUGGCAAGCGUUGUCCGGAUUUAUUGGGUUUAAAGGGUGCGUAGGCGGUCUAUUAAGUCAGUGGUGAAAUAUCGCAGCUUAACUAGAGGGGUGGCAUUGAUACUGAUUGGCUUGAGUGAAGUCGAAGUAGGCGGAAUUGACGGUGUAGCGGUGAAAUGCUUAGAUAUCGUCAAGAACACCGAUAGUGAAGACAGCUUACUAGACUUCAACUGACGCUGAGGCACGAAAGUGUGGGGAUCAAACAGG
rnacentral:rRNA from 1 species